UGGGGAAUAUUUGACAAUGGGCGCAAGCCUGAUCCCGCCAUGCCGCGUGAGUGAUGAAGGCCCUAGGGUUUUAAAUCUCUUUCACCGGUGAAGAUAAUGACGGUAACCGGAGAAGAAGCCCCGGCUAACUUCGUGCCAGCAGCCGCGGUAAUACUCAGGGGGCUAGCGUUGUUCGGAUUUACUGGGCGUAAAGCGCACGUAGGCGGACUUUUAAGUCAGGGGUGAAAUCCCGGGGCUCAACCCCGGAACUGCCUUUGAUAAUGGAAGUCUUGAGUAUGGUAGAGGUGAGUGGAAUUCCGAGUGUAGAGGUGAAAUUCGUAGAUAUUCGGAGGAAAACCAGUGGAGAAGGCGGCUCACUGGACCAUUACUGACGCUGAGGUGCGAAAGAGUGGGGAGCAAACAGG
rnacentral:rRNA from 1 species